rfam:Triticum aestivum genome assembly, contig: Triticum_aestivum_CS42_TGACv1_scaffold_222312_3B
CAACUACUCCCUCUGUCCCAAAUUUCUUGUCUUAGAUUUGUCUAGAUACGGAUGUAUCUAAUACUAAAAUGUGACUUGAUACAUCCGUAUCUAGAGAAAUCUAAGACAAGAAUUUUGGGACGGAGGGAGUACUUU